rnacentral:rRNA from 1 species
UGGGGAAUUUUGCACAAUGGGGGAAACCCUGAUGCAGCGACGCCGCGUGAUUUAGAAGGCCUUCGGGUUGUAAAAAUCUUUUCUAUGGGAAGAAAAUGACAGUACCAUAGGAAUAAGGACCGGCUAAUUACGUGCCAGCAGCCGCGGUAAUACGUAAGGUCCGAGCGUUGUCCGGAAUCAUUGGGCGUAAAGGGUACGUAGGCGGGUAAGCAAGUUAGAAGUGAAAUCCUAUAGCUCAACUAUAGUAAGCUUUUAAAACUGCUCAUCUUGAGGUAUGGAAGGGAAAGUGCAAUUCCUAGUGUAGCGGUGAAAUGCGCAGAUAUUAGGAGGAAUACCGGUGGCGAAGGCGACUUUCUGGCCAUAACCUGACGCUGAGGUACGAAAGCGUGGGUAGCAAACAGG